rnacentral:rRNA from 1 species
GAGUAACACGUGAGGAACCUGCCUCGAGAGUGGGAUAGCUUCUGGAAACGGAUGGUAAUACCGCAUAACAUAGCGAAACCGCAUGAUUUUGCUAUCAAAGUAUUUCGCUCAGAGAUUGCCUCGCGUCUGAUUAGAUAGUUGGUGAGGUAACGGCUCACCAAGUCGACGAUCAGUAGCCGGACUGAGAGGUUGAACGGCCACAUUGGGACUGAGACACGGCCCAGACUCCUACGGGAGGCAGCAGUGGGGGAUAUUGCACAAUGGGGGAAACCCUGAUGCAGCGAUGCCGCGUGGAGGAAGAAGGUUUUCGGAUUGUAAACUCCUGUCGUAAGGGAAGAGGAAGGACUGUACCUUACAAGAAAGCUCCGGCUAACUACGUGCCAGCAGCCGCGGUAAUACGUAGGGAGCGAGCGUUGUCCGGAAUGACUGGGUGUAAAGGGAGCGUAGGCGGGAUGGCAAGUCAGAUGUGAAACCUGAGGGCUCAACCUUCAGACUGCAUUUGAAACUGCUGUUCUUGAGUGAAGUAGAGGUAAGCGGAAUUCCUGGUGUAGCGGUGAAAUGCGUAGAGAUCAGGAGGAACAUCGGUGGCGAAGGCGGCUUACUGGGCUUUUACUGACGCUGAGGCUCGAAAGCGUGGGGAGCAAACAGGAUUAGAUACCCUGGUAGUCCACGCUGUAAACGAUGAUUACUAGGUGUGGGGGGAUUGACCCCUUCCGUGCCGCAGUUAACACAAUAAGUAAUCCACCUGGGGAGUA